GGUUAAGUUAGAAAGGGCGCACGGUGGAUGCCUUGGCACUAGGAGCCGAUGAAGGACGGGACGAACACCGAUAUGCUUCGGGGAGCUGUAAGCAAGCUUUGAUCCGGAGAUUUCCGAAUGGGGAAACCCACCACUCGUAAUGGAGUGGUAUCCAUAUCUGAAUACAUAGGAUAUGAGAAGGCAGACCCGGGGAACUGAAACAUCUAAGUACCCGGAGGAAGAGAAAGCAAAUGCGAUUCCCUGAGUAGCGGCGAGCGAAACGGGACCAGCCCAAACCAAGAGGCUUGCCUCUUGGGGUUGUAGGACACUCUGUACGGAGUUACAAAGGAACGAGGUAGAUGAAGAGGUCUGGAAAGGCCCGCCAUAGGAGGUAACAGCCCUGUAGUCAAAACUUCGUUCUCUCCUGAGUGGAUCCUGAGUACGGCGGAACACGUGAAAUUCCGUCGGAAUCCGGGA
rnacentral:rRNA from 1 species